rnacentral:rRNA from 1 species
AGAUUGAACGCUGGCGGAAUGCUUUACACAUGCAAGUCGAGCGGCAGCGCGGGGCAACCUGGCGGCGAGCGGCGAACGGGUGAGUAAUGCAUCGGAACAUGUCCAUGUCGUGGGGGAUAGCCCGGCGAAAGCCGGAUUAAUACCGCAUACGCCCGAGAGGGGAAAGCCGGGGACCGCAAGGCCUGGCGCGAUUGGGUUGGCCGAUGUCCGAUUAGCUAGUUGGCGGGGUAAGAGCCCACCAAGGCGAUGAUCGGUAGCUGGUCUGAGAGGAUGAUCAGCCACACUGGGACUGAGACACGGCCCAGACUCCUACGGGAGCAGCAGUGGGAUUUGGACAAGUGGGGCAACCUGAUCCAGCCAUUCCGCGUGAGUGAAGUAAGGCCGUUACGGUUGUAACGCUUCGUUUUGUACCGGAACG